UCCCCAAGCCUCGGUUUUCUCAUCUGGAGAAUGGGGUUAAUAAUAAUCUUUACCUCAUAGGAUUAGUAUGAGGACUAGACAGUAUUACGUGAAGUGCUCAGCUCAGAAUUAAUACGUACCCAAUAAAUAUUUGCUCUUAUUAUUGCUAUCACAGUAUGACCAUGAGUAAGUUAUCUAAUCACUCAGAGGCUCACCUGUACAAUUGGAAUAGUUAUAUCUGUCUCAUAAAGAUGGGAGGAACAGAUGUAAUAAUGUACCUAACGGACAUGAUACACAGUAGAUUCUCAUGAAGGGAGCUAUUUCAUUAUUUCCCCAAAUUAGCCUUCAUGCUGGAGAGCCUUUACUGGCUGAGGGCCUUCCGUGGUCAGCUUCAUGCCUUCCACUCGCUGCCCAAGUUGAACCACAUUCCCCACAGAAUUGACAGGUUUCCAGAGUGGAUUCUCUUCCAGGUAUCACCAUGCAAUCCAAUCCCCACCCGAAUGGGGCCUACGUAAUUGCUUCGCACACAGACAUCCCUCCCAGGGCUCCAGUGGCAGCCUGGCCUGUGAGGCCACUGUAUUUGAUUUUUGUAGGUCAACAAACAAACAUUUGAAAUUAAAUAAGCCUGUUAGUCAUGGCAGGUUCAGGUUGCUGUAAUUAGCUUCUGUCUGGCCUGCUGUAGCAGCAGCAGGCCCGUGCUUCUCACUGCCUGUACAGCAAGAAUACACAGUUCCCAGAGCUCUGCGGGUGCUGUGGCUGGAAGCACUUGAUGCUGAUGCUUCAGGACAGAUGCUGGCAAACGCCUCUUCCUGGGUCGGCAGUGGUGGUUCUCAAAUGUGGCAUUUAAUUCUGCGGUCCACCGGACAUCCUGAAUGGUGUUCUUCUAAAAGAGGUUAUAUGAGCAGGUGCUACGGGCCAGCCAUCGUGUCAGGUGUUUUACAUCCUGUUUAAUCUUCACAACAAUCCUUUGAGGCACAAUGAUUACUCCAGAGACUUGAGGAGCUUCAAGACAACUGAAUGCAAGAUAAGAAAGGAGAUAGCUUGGGGAAGAUAGACUGCUUAUCCCUACUGGGACUCUUCUGGAAGGCACAUUAUUGACUUCAAGGCAAGAGGCUAUGAAAGUGUGCCUUUCCUUAAGACAGUAAGCUCUCUGUUUUCUGAAGUGAAUGGAAAAAAAGGGGCAUUUUGGUUCCCUAUAUCAGUUUCCAGAAAUGAGUAUAUUGUACAAUGUACUUGAAUCUACAAUGCUACCGAAUAUAACUUAUUGUUACUCAGAUGAUUCAGAAGACCCUCUGGGAUCUCAUUAAGAUAAACAGCAAAUAUUUUGUGCUGCAGCUGUAUGGACAAGCCAUUUCCCAGUGACUUCUAGCAAUGAGUCAGAAAAAUAAAAAUAAACGCCUUUCUGUAUUGUCA